CCCAUAUUAUUAUUAUUAUUAUUAUUAUUAUUAUUAUUAUUAUUAUUAUUAUUAUUUCCUCCUCUUCUUCCUGCUGAUUCUGAUUCUGGAAGCCUGCCUGCCUGCAGUUGAUCCUGCUAAAGCCAUCCAUAGGAACAGCUUAUAACAGGAAAUGGAUAAAAGCUCCCCAUCCAAACAAUGACUAUCAUCAAUGCACGAGGAGAGGAGAGAAUGCUCUUAUGCUUGGGUCCUGCUUGUGGGUUUCUGACAGGCACCUGUGAGAACAGGAUACUAAACUAGAUUGACCUGAUCCAGUGUUCUGCAUGUUUAAAACUUCAAAUCUCACAGGCAACAUCUCGGAACAGUGGUUGAAAAACACUGACCUAAAGGACCACAAUCUUCUGCUGCAUCCUGCCCAUACCUUAAUAUCUGCCUUGAAGUCCUGCUAUGGUGCCUUCCUAGAAUGAAAGUUAGACUGACAAGCCUUGGAUGAGGACAUUUUCGACGGUGGCCUCACAACUGUAGAAUGCAUUUCCACGGGACAUCAGACAAGCCCCAUCCCUUGCAGGUUUGGAAAGAGCCUCAAAGAGCCUCUUUACUGCAACGUGUAGCAAGUAAUCUGAUCAGAGCUGUAGAAUUUGCAUUCCCCCUUGAUUUUGGUAGCAAGUUCAGAGCUGAAUGGGCACGUCAGUGGGAGCACUGGGUUGGCUCUGGUGUUGCAUCUGAGCAGCUGUGAUCUUGCCACUGCUGUACUCUGCCCCCACCUUGGUAAACAGCAGCAAUGCCUCAAUCAGGAGAGUGGGCUUGUGUCACUACCCCACUGCACCAGCCACUUC